GACGAACGCUGGCGGCGUGCUUAACACAUGCCAGUCGAACGAGAGCGUAGAGAAAGCUUGCUUUUUCUACAAUCUAGUGGCAAACGGGUGAGUAACGCGUAAACAACCUGCCCUACGGAUGGGGACAACAGCUGGAAACGGCUGCUAAUACCGAAUACGUUCCGAAAGUCGCAUGACUAUCGGAAGAAAGGAUGGCCUCUAUUUAUAAGCUAUCGCCGGAGGAGGGGUUUGCGUCUGAUUAGCUAGUUGGAGGGGUAACGGCCCACCAAGGCGACGAUCAGUAGCCGGUCUGAGAGGAUGAACGGCCACAGUGGAACUGAGACACGGUCCAGACUCCUACGGGAGGCAGCAGUGGGGAAUCUUCCGCAAUGGGCGAAAGCCUGACGGAGCAACGCCGCGUGAGUGAAGACGGCCUUCGGGUUGUAAAGCUCUGUUAUACGGGACGAAUAAUCUUGUGGUUAAUACCCAUGAGAAGUGACGGUACCGUAAGAGAAAGCCACGGCUAACUACGUG
rnacentral:rRNA from 1 species